CUCAUGACGAACGCUGGCGGCGUGCUUAACACAUGCAAGUCGAACGGAAAGGCCCUGCUUUUGUGGGGUGCUCGAGUGGCGAACGGGUGAGUAACACGUGAGUAACCUGCCCUUGACUUUGGGAUAACUUCAGGAAACUGGGGCUAAUACCGGAUAGGAGCUCCUGCUGCAUGGUGGGGGUUGGAAAGUUUCGGCGGUUGGGGAUGGACUCGCGGCUUAUCAGCUUGUUGGUGGGGUAGUGGCUUACCAAGGCUUUGACGGGUAGCCGGCCUGAGAGGGUGACCGGCCACAUUGGGACUGAGAUACGGCCCAGACUCCUACGGGAGGCAGCAGUGGGGAAUAUUGCACAAUGGGCGGAAGCCUGAUGCAGCAACGCCGCGUGCGGGAUGACGGCCUUCGGGUUGUAAACCGCUUUCGCCUGUGACGAAGCGUGAGUGACGGUAAUGGGUAAAGAAGCACCGGCUAACUACGUGCCAGCAGCCGCGGUGAUACGUAGGGUGCGAGCGUUGUCCGGAUUUAUUGGGCGUAAAGGGCUCGUAGGUGGUUGAUCGCGUCGGAAGUGUAAUCUUGGGGCUUAACCCUGAGCGUGCUUUCGAUACGGGUUGACUUGAGGAAGGUAGGGGAGAAUGGAAUUCCUGGUGGAGCGGUGGAAUGCGCAGAUAUCAGGAGGAACACCAGUGGCGAAGGCGGUUCUCUGGGCCUUUCCUGACGCUGAGGAGCGAAAGCGUGGGGAGCGAACAGGCUUAGAUACCCUGGUAGUCCACGCUGUAAACGGUGGGUACUAGGUGUGGGGUCCAUUCCACGGGUUCCGUGCCGUAGCUAACGCUUUAGGUACCCCGCCUGGGGAGUACGGCCGCAAGGCUAAAACUCAAAGGAAUUGACGGGGCCCCGCACAAGCGGCGGAGCAUGCGGAUUAAUUCGAUGCAACGCGUAGAACCUUACCUGGGUUUGACAUGGAUCGGGAGUGCUCAGAGAUGGGUGUGCCUCUUUUGGGGUCGGUUCACAGGUGGUGCAUGGCUGUCGUCAGCUCGUGUCGUGAGAUGUUGGGUUAAGUCCCGCAACGAGCGCAACCCUUGUUCACUGUUGCCAGCACGUUAUGGUGGGGACUCAGUGGAGACCGCCGGGGUCAACUCGGAGGAAGGUGGGGAUGACGUCAAGUCAUCAUGCCCCUUAUGUCCAGGGCUUCACGCAUGCUACAAUGGCUGGUACAGAGAGUGGCGAGCCUGUGAGGGUGAGCGAAUCUCGGAAAGCCGGUCUCAGUUCGGAUUGGGGUCUGCAACUCGACCUCAUGAAGUCGGAGUCGCUAGUAAUCGCAGAUCAGCAACGCUGCGGUGAAUACGUUCCCGGGGCUUGUACACACCGCCCGUCAAGUCAUGAAAGUUGGUAACACCCGAAGCCGAUGGCCUAACCGUUGUGGGGGAGCCGUCGAAGGUGG
rnacentral:rRNA from 1 species